GCUUACUUUCCUCUUACUUUUGAAGUUUCUACUUGUUUUACAGCUCACCUUUGCCAGUCGACAGAGAUAUUAAAGUCUAUUCUUCAGGAGAUUUUCCAGGUAUCUCUGCCACAGCUGAAACAAGAGUACACCUAACACUGAAAAGGAAAGUUCCUUCUAGUGAAUUAAGUGAUUCAGUCAGUGAUGGUUUAGUAAGAGACAGUAUAGUAGUAACUAAGAAACCUCCAAAACCAACAACCUUAAAGGAGACAGGAGAAAUUAUCAAAGAUUUAAUCUCAUGUGUGCAGAGACAUGAAAAUAAAUAUGCAUCCAACAGAACAAAUUGUGUCAGAAACCUUACAUGGGAGAUCAGUAAGCUGGACGAAAAGAGUUUUCUACAACUGUCUCACUCAGCCUUGAAUAAAACAUGCAGACUCUCAGAUAUCAAAUGUCUGGAGGAGAGAUAUCUCAUGAUAGAUGUAAUAUCUCAGAUGAGAUCCAAU